AGGAGCGUGGCCUAGUGGAAAGAGCGCUGGCCUGUAAGUCAGAGGAUGUGGGUUCUAAUCCCAACUCUGCCA
rnacentral:tRNA from 1 species